rnacentral:rRNA from 1 species
AAAUGAAUUGACGGGGGCCCGCACAAGCAGUGGAGUAUGUGGUUUAAUUCGAAGCAACGCGAAGAACCUUACCAGGGUUUGACAUCCUCUGACGAUAGUAGAGAUACUAUUUUCUUUUCGGAGACAGAGAGACAGGUGGUGCAUGGUUGUCGUCAGCUCGUGUCGUGAGAUGUUGGGUUAAGUCCCGCAACGAGCGCAACCCCUGUCGCCAGUUGCCAUCAUUCAGUUGGGGACUCUGGCGAGACCGCCGUUGACAAAACGGAGGAAGGUGGGGAUGACGUCAAAUCAUCAUGCCCCUUACGUCCUGGGCUACACACGUACUACAAUGGUAGGAACAACGAGCAGCGCCGUCGCGAGGCGAAGCAAAUCUCCAAAUCCUAUCUCAGUUCGGAUUGCAGGCUGCAACUCGCCUGCAUGAAGCAGGAAUUGCUAGUAAUGGCAGGUCAUCAUACUGCCGUGAAUACGUUCCCGGGCCUUGUACACACCGCCCGU